UUGGAGUAUUUUACCCUUGACAUUUGUAUUCAAGGAAUGAACUUGGGUCUACAUUAUAUUUUUCAAGGCAUCAAGCUUAAAACCUUUAAGGAGCUAACUACUUGUGUGCAUGAUAUGUAGUUAAGUAUGACAGCUUUUGGAAAUCAAGAUUUUCCAAUCAAAGAGAGGUAAGAAGAAGCAAGAAACCUGCAAAUGAGGCAAGACAAUUCCCAACCAGGGAGAAAGCAAACAAUCUAUGACUGCGAGUUCCAAGCCUUUGAAGGUGUCUCC
rnacentral:lncRNA from 1 species